ensembl:snoRNA
UUUCCCCUUGCCGUAGUUGCGUUGUAGGUGUAGCUGUUGUGUCACAUGUGCAUCAGCAAAUGGGAGAGUGGAGAGAGACUAUUCUGUGCUCAGUGUUCUAAUCUAUGAACAUCUGAAUGUUUAGUAGCCUAACAUU